AGGGAUCAUUACUGAGUGAGGGCUCACGCCCGACCUCCAACCCUUUGUGAACACAUCUUGUUGCUUCGGGGGCGACCCUGCCGGCACUACGUCGCCGGGCGCCCCCGAAGGUCUCCAAACACUGCAUCUUUGCGUCGGAGUUUAAACAAAUUAAACAAAACUUUCAACAACGGAUCUCUUGGUUCUG
rnacentral:misc_RNA from 1 species